rnacentral:rRNA from 1 species
GGGUUGUGAGGUUAAGCGAAUAAGCGUACACGGUGGAUGCCUAGGCAAUCAGAGGCGAUGAAGGACGUGCUAAUCUGCGAAAAGCGUCGGUAAGGUGAUAUGAACCGUUAUACCCGACGAUAUCCGAAUGGGGAAACCCAGUAUCCAAUGGAUACUAUCAUUAACUGAAUCCAUAGGUUAAUGAGGCGAACCGGGAGAACUGAAACAUCUCAGUACCCCGAGGAAAAGAAAUCAACCGAGAUUCCCCUAGUAGCGGCGAGCGAACGGGGAGCAGCCCAGAGUCUUAAUCAAUAGCAGUGUCAGGAGAACGGUCUGGAAAGUCCGGCAGUAAAGGGUGAUAGCCCCGUAUCUGAAGAUGCUGUUAUUGUGAACUCGACGAGUAGGGCGGGACACGUGUUAUCCUGUCUGAAUAUGGGGGGACCAUCCUCCAAGGCUAAAUACUCCUGAUUGACCGAUAGUGAACCAGUACCGUGAGGGAAAGGCGAAAAGAACCCCGGCGAGGGGAGUGAAAAAGAACCUGAAACCGUGUACGUACAAGCAGUAGGAGCCUCUUUAUGGGGUGACUGCGUACCUUUUGUAUAAUGGGUCAGCGACUUAUAUUCUGUAGCAAGGUUAACCGUAUAGGGGAGCCGUAGGGAAACCGAGUCUUAACUGGGCGAAUGAGUUGCAGGGUAUAGACCCGAAACCCGGUGAUCUAUCCAUGGGCAGGUUGAAGGUUGGGUAACACUAACUGGAGGACCGAACCGACUAAUGUUGAAAAAUUAGCGGAUGACUUGUGGAUGGGGGUGAAAGGCCAAUCAAACCGGGAGAUAGCUGGUUCUCCCCGAAAGCUAUUUAGGUAGCGCCUCGUGAACUCAUCUUCGGGGGUAGAGCACUGUUUCGACUAGGGGGUCAUCCCGACUUACCAACUCGAUGCAAACUGCGAAUACCGAAGAAUGUUAUCACGGGAGACACACGGCGGGUGCUAACGUCCGUCGUGAAGAGGGAAACAACCCAGACCGCCAGCUAAGGUCCCAAAGUCAUGGUUAAGUGGGAAACGAAGUGGGAAGGCUCAGACAGCCAGGAUGUUGGCUUAGAAGCAGCCAUCAUUUAAAGAAAGCGUAAUAGCUCACUGGUCGAGUCGGCCCGCGCGGAAGAUGUAACGGGGCUAAACCAUGCACCGAAGCUGCGGCAGCGACACGUAGUGUUGUUGGGUAGGGGAGCGUUCUGUAAGCCUGCGAAGGUGUACUGUGAGGUAUGCUGGAGGUAUCAGAAGUGCGAAUGCUGACAUAAGUAACGAUAAUGCGGGUGAAAAACCCGCACGCCGGAAGACCAAGGGUUCCUGUCCAACGUUAAUCGGGGCAGGGUGAGUCGACCCCUAAGGCGAGGCUGAAAAGCGUAGUCGAUGGGAAACGGGUUAAUAUUCCCGUACUGGUGGUAACUGCGAUGGGGGAACGGAGAAGGCUAGGUUGUCCGGGCGACGGUCGUCCCGGUUCAAGCAGGUAGGCAGAGUGAUUAGGCAAAUCCGGUCACUUAAUGCUGAGAUGUGAUGACGAACCACCAAGGUGGUGAAGCAAUUGAUGCCCCGCUUCCAGGAAAAGCCUCUAAGCUUCAGGUUACCAACAAUCGUACCCCAAACCGACACAGGUGGUCAGGUAGAGAAUACUCAGGCGCUUGAGAGAACUCGGGUGAAGGAACUAGGCAAAAUGGUGCCGUAACUUCGGGAGAAGGCACGCUGGCGGUAGGUAAAGUCCCUCGCGGACAGAGCUGAAGCCAGUCGAAGAUACCAGCUGGCUGCAACUGUUUAUUAAAAACACAGCACUGUGCAAACACGAAAGUGGACGUAUACGGUGUGACGCCUGCCCGGUGCUGGAAGGUUAAUUGAUGGGGUUAGCGCAAGCGAAGCUCCUGAUCGAAGCCCCAGUAAACGGCGGCCGUAACUAUAACGGUCCUAAGGUAGCGAAAUUCCUUGUCGGGUAAGUUCCGACCUGCACGAAUGGCGUAAUGAUGGCCAGGCUGUCUCCACCCGAGACUCAGUGAAAUUGAACUCGCUGUGAAGAUGCAGUGUACCCGCGGCAAGACGGAAAGACCCCGUGAACCUUUACUAUAGCUUGACACUGAACAUUGAGCCUUGAUGUGUAGGAUAGGUGGGAGGCUUUGAAGUGUGGACGCCAGUCUGCAUGGAGCCAACCUUGAAAUACCACCCUUUAACGUUUGAUGUUCUAACCUAGGCCCAUAAACUGGGUCGGGGACCGUGUCUGGUGGGUAGUUUGACUGGGGCGGUCUCCUCCUAAAGAGUAACGGAGGAGCACGAAGGUUGGCUAAGCAUGGUCGGACAUCAUGCGGUUAGUGCAAAGGCAUAAGCCAGCUUGACUGCGAGAGUGACGGCUCGAGCAGGUACGAAAGUAGGUCUUAGUGAUCCGGUGGUUCUGAAUGGAAGGGCCAUCGCUCAACGGAUAAAAGGUACUCCGGGGAUAACAGGCUGAUACCGCCCAAGAGUUCAUAUCGACGGCGGUGUUUGGCACCUCGAUGUCGGCUCAUCACAUCCUGGGGCUGAAGUAGGUCCCAAGGGUAUGGCUGUUCGCCAUUUAAAGUGGUACGCGAGCUGGGUUUAGAACGUCGUGAGACAGUUCGGUCCCUAUCUGCCGUGGGCGUUGGAAGAUUGAGAGGGGUUGCUCCUAGUACGAGAGGACCGGAGUGAACGCACCACUGGUGUUCGGGUUGUCAUGCCAAUGGCAUUGCCCGGUAGCUAAGUGCGGAAGAGAUAACCGCUGAAAGCAUCUAAGCGGGAAACUUGCCUCGAGAUGAGUCUUCCCUGUCGCUUUAAGCGACCUAAAGGAACGUUUAAGACUAAGACGUUGAUAGGCUGGGUGUGUAAGCGUAGCGAUACGUUGAGCUAACCAGUACUAAUGAACCGUGAGGCUUAACCUGACAACACCGAAAGUGUUUUG